rnacentral:rRNA from 1 species
GGCGAACGCUGGCGGCGUGCUUAACACAUGCAAGUCGAACGGUGAAGCGCCUUCCUUUUUGGUGGGUGUGGAUGAGUGGCGAACGGGUGAGUAACACGUGAGUAACCUGCCCCCUUCUUCUGGAUAACCGCAUGAAAGUGUGGCUAAUACGGGAUAUUCUGGGUCUGUCGCAUGAUGGGUCUGGGAAAGAUAUUGUUUCGGUGGGGGAUGGGCUCGCGGCCUAUCAGCUUGUUGGUGGGGUGAUGGCCUACCAAGGCGGUGACGGGUAGCCGGCCUGAGAGGGUGGACGGUCACACUGGGACUGAGACACGGCCCAGACUCCUACGGGAGGCAGCAGUGGGGAAUAGUGCACAAUGGGCGCAAGCCUGAUGCAGCGACGCCGCGUGAGGGAUGGAGGCCUUCGGGUUGUGAACCUCUUUCGCCAGUGAAGCAGGCCUGCCUCGUUUGUGGGUGGGUUGACGGUAGCUGGAUAAGAAGCGCCGGCUAACUACGUG